UGACUUUGUUUCUUCAUCAGAAGCGAGCGCUGAAGCUGCAGCAGCACAAGCAGGAGGAGGAUCUGGAGCGCGAGCAGCAGAGAGAGCGAGAGCUGGAGUGAGAGACGUCUCAUCGCAAACCCGCCAAAUGCAGCGACGCUGAACCGCACUGAGCGCGCUCAGACACACGGCUCCGCCCACUGCCCCGAGACUCUGCCCCGCAGACACAUGGCCCCGCCCACUGCCCCGCGCCCCCGC